AUACUUUCUGGAUUUAUCCUGAACAAGAAGUGGAAUUGUUGAGUUAAUGCCCAGAAGUGGCUCUUCUGCCCUGAGCUACACCUGCCAGCCCAGAAGGCCGUCACACACGAUUCCCAGCUCUGCAGGCAGCGGCGUGGGAAGGCCUGGGGGCCGGGCUGCGGGCAUGGUGCUGAGCAGCUCAUCGCCGCCUGUCUUUGGAAUCUACCAUCUCAAGGUCUGCAACGUAAGCGUUUAUAAAUUAAAUAAAUUAGUAGAUAAGCACUUGCACAAACGGUUGAUAAAUAACUGCGGGCUGCGUACACAUGCAUUGCACUCACGUGAGUGCCCGGUGCCAGAGACACACCAGCAUCUCCUGGUGCUGCGGAGAGCCUGAGCCAGCGCUGAGUUAUCUGCUCCUCGUUCUGGUGGGGUAUUGCUGGAGCAUAAAGAUAAUAAUUAAAGUGUCACUUUUUUAGUUGCAUUUCUUAUGGAGAUCUGCUCUGUGUUUUAUAAGUUGUAUUUAGCUCCAGUGGUGCCAGCAGACAGAAUUAAUUGUGUGAGAAGACGUAGGGGCAGCUCCUGCUCCCAGCACAGCCCCGCGCAGGCAGGCUCUGGUCCCGCUGGCUCGUGCCUUCCUGUGCAAGCCUUUGGGACAGGCAAAGUCACAUGGAUAAAGAGCACCAGCUCUUGUGUUGGACCUGGCACACUGGGGGAUGUUGCUGUGAAUGUGGUGCAUCACAACAUGAAGGGAUGAGAAACCUGCAGGCUCCCACUGCUGCAGCGCUCGCUGGUGGCCGCAAGCUCAGCUGUGCUGCAGUGUCCUGGUGUCCAGUGUCUGGCAGUGCCACAGCUGUUACUUAAAGGCUCAUCCCUCUGCCACUGGGGCGGAGGGGCAGGGCAGAGUGGGACCUCUCCCUGAGGUGCCUGGGAGCUGCGUGGCCUGAAUGAAAAGCUUCUCUCUGCAAUGGGCAGAGCAAAGGUUGCUGCAGGCAAAGGAGCGCUUCCGCAGAAUCGGUCCCCAGCAGUUCUUAGCACUGACAGGAGGGUGUGCGUGGGCAGAGCAGGCUCGCGGUAGCACAGGCCUGCGUGUAACACUUGUUGUACUUGUCCUUUAGGAAGAGAUGCUCCCCUAAGGCUGUGCCUUUGGUGGCACUCCAGUGUAGGACACGGAUACAUCCUUCAGUUACAUCGAUUCCCUGGUCUGGUGCAGCUGAGGAAUGUGGUGUGGUGAAAUGAGGGAGGGUGAGGUGUUUUGUAGCAUGGAGGCAAAAAGGGAACACUUUGCUUUGCUCCUGGGUGCUUGAUGUGAUGAACCCACCCACAGAGACGUGCUCGGUCAGCUGUAAUCCAGAUCGGCGCACUUGCCCCCCAAAGAACUUCACUUAUGUGAUGAG
rnacentral:lncRNA from 1 species